rnacentral:rRNA from 2 species
UGCAGUCGAGCGAAUCGAUGGGAGCUUGCUCCCUGAGAUUAGCGGCGGACGGGUGAGUAACACGUGGGCAACCUGCCUAUAAGACUGGGAUAACUUCGGGAAACCGGAGCUAAUACCGGAUACGUUCUUUUCUCGCAUGAGAGAAGAUGGAAAGACGGUUUACGCUGUCACUUAUAGAUGGGCCCGCGGCGCAUUAGCUAGUUGGUGAGGUAAUGGCUCACCAAGGCGACGAUGCGUAGCCGACCUGAGAGGGUGAUCGGCCACACUGGGACUGAGACACGGCCCAGACUCCUACGGGAGGCAGCAGUAGGGAAUCUUCCGCAAUGGACGAAAGUCUGACGGAGCAACGCCGCGUGAACGAAGAAGGCCUUCGGGUCGUAAAGUUCUGUUGUUAGGGAAGAACAAGUACCAGAGUAACUGCUGGUACCUUGACGGUACCUAACCAGAAAGCCACGGCUAACUACGUGCCAGCAGCCGCGGUAAUACGUAGGUGGCAAGCGUUGUCCGGAAUUAUUGGGCGUAAAGCGCGCGCAGGUGGUUCCUUAAGUCUGAUGUGAAAGCCCACGGCUCAACCGUGGAGGGUCAUUGGAAACUGGGGAACUUGAGUGCAGAAGAGGAAAGUGGAAUUCCAAGUGUAGCGGUGAAAUGCGUAGAGAUUUGGAGGAACACCAGUGGCGAAGGCGACUUUCUGGUCUGUAACUGACACUGAGGCGCG